UACAGAGGUCCCAAGCGUUGUUCGGAUUCACUGGGCGUAAAGGGUGCGUAGGCGGUCGGGUAAGUCUGAUGUGAAUCUCAACAGCUUAACUGUGAAACUGCAUUGGAUACUAUCCGGCUCGAGGAAUGGAGGGGAGACUGGAAUACUUGGUGUAGCAGUGAAAUGCGUAGAUAUCAAGUGGAACACCAGUGGCGAAGGCGAGUCUCGUGGACAUUUCCUGACGCUGAGGCACGAAAGCCAGGGGAGCAAACGGG
rnacentral:rRNA from 1 species